UGGUGGAGUGAUUUGUCUGCUUAAUUGCGAUAACGAACGAGACCUCGGCCCUUAAAUAGCCCGGUCCGCAUUUGCGGGCUGCUGGCUUCUUAGGGGGACUAUCGGCUCAAGCCGAUGGAAGUGCGCGGCAAUAACA
rnacentral:rRNA from 1 species